CCUGGUGCCUAUCGCGGAGUUGAAACACCCGAUCCCAUCCCGAACUCGGCCGUGAAACACUCCAGCGCCCAUGGUACUGCCGCUCAAGCGGCGGGAGAGUCGGUCAGCGCCAGGC
rnacentral:rRNA from 2 species